rnacentral:rRNA from 1 species
UACAGAGGGGCAAGCGUUAUCGGAAUUAUUGGGCGUAAAGGGCGCGUAGGCGGCCUGGCAAGUGGAAGGUGAAAUCCCUCGGCUACAACCGUGAGGAACUGCCUUUGAAACUGUACGGCUUGAGGCCGGGAGGGGUAGCGGAAUUCCCGAGUGUAGCGGUGAAAUGCGAUAGAUACUGGGAGGAACACCAGUGGCGAAGGCGGCUACCUGGACCGGUUCCUGGACGCUGAGGCGCGAAAGCGUGGGUAGCAAACAGG